ACUCCUACGGGAGGCAGCAGUGGGGAAUAUUGCACAAUGGGCGCAAGCCUGAUGCAGCGACGCCGCGUGGGGGAUGAAGGCCUUCGGGUUGUAAACUCCUUUCGCUAGGGACGAAGCUUUUUUGUGACGGUACCUAGAUAAGAAGCACCGGCUAACUACGUGCCAGCAGCCGCGGUAAUACGUAGGGUGCGAGCGUUGUCCGGAAUUACUGGGCGUAAAGGGCUCGUAGGUGGUUUGUCGCGUCGUCUGUGAAAUUCUGGGGCUUAACUCCGGGCGUGCAGGCGAUACGGGCAUAACUUGAGUGCUGUAGGGGUAACUGGAAUUCCUGGUGUAGCGGUGAAAUGCGCAGAUAUCAGGAGGAACACCGAUGGCGAAGGCAGGUUACUGGGCAGUUACUGACGCUGAGGAGCGAAAGCAUGGGUAGCGAACAGGAUUAGAUACCCUUGUAGUCCCAU
rnacentral:rRNA from 1 species